rnacentral:rRNA from 1 species
UACGUAGGGUGCGAGCGUUGUCCGGAAUUAUUGGGCGUAAAGAGCUCGUAGGCGGUUUGUUGCGUCGGCCGUGAAAACUCAGGGCUUAACUCUGAGCCUGCGGUCGAUACGGGCAGACUAGAGUUCGGUAGGGGAGAUCGGAAUUCCUGGUGUAGCGGUGAAAUGCGCAGAUAUCAGGAGGAACACCGGUGGCGAAGGCGGAUCUCUGGGCCGAUACUGACGCUGAGGAGCGAAAGCGUGGGGAGCGAACAGG